UCUCCUCCAUUCGCAGCGCCGCUCCAACCCUUCCUGACGCUGCUCUAGCUUGCCUGACGCCGCUAGCUCCGCUUCGUUGUAACUCCGGUCACUCCAUUGCUGUUUGGACACAAUUAAGUUGAGAAAUGAGGUGCUUUUUUUGCAUUAGUUCAUCCCGUAAAGAUACUAAGAUCGACGUUGAAAAUGGCCUUCGAUCUACCUCACGCCAUUCUUCUGAUUCUUCUGGUAGCGGGAAGAGAAAGCCUUACUAGCGGGAAGAG